CCUACGGGAGGCAGCAGUGGGGAAUAUUGGGCAAUGGGCGCAAGUCUGACCCAGCAACGCCGCGUGAAUGAAGAAGGUCUUCGGAUUGUAAAGCUCUUUUCUUAGGGAAGAAAAAAGUGACGGUCCCUUAGGAAUGAGCCUCGGCUAACUACGUGCCAGCAGCCGCGGUAAUACGUAGGAGGCAAGCGUUAUCCGGAUUGACUGGGUGUAAAGGGUGCGUAGGUGGGCUGUCAAGUCAGUUGUGAAAGUCCGGGGCUCAACCGCGGUACUGCUUCGGAAACUGUUGGACUUGAGUGCAGGAGAGGCAAGUGGAAUUCCGAGUGUAGCGGUGAAAUGCGUAGAUAUUAGGAGGAACACCAGUGGCGAAGGCGGAUUGCUGGACUGUAACUGACGCUGAGGCACGAAAGCGUGGGGAGCAAACAGGAUUAGAUACCCCUGUAGUC
rnacentral:rRNA from 1 species